GACGAACGCUGGCGGCGUGCUUAACACAUGCAAGUCGAACGGUAAGGCCCUUCGGGGUACACGAGUGGCGAACGGGUGAGUAACACGUGGGUGAUCUGCCCUGCACUUCGGGAUAAUCCUGGGAAACUGGGUCUAAUACCGGAUAGGACCACUGCCCGCAUGGCUGGUGGUGGAAAGCUUUUGCGGUGGGGGAUGGGCCCGCGGCCUAUCAGGUUGUUGGUGGGGUGAUGGCCUACCAAGGCGACGACGGGUAGCCGGCCUGAGAGGGUGACCGGCCACACUGGGACUGAGAUACGGCCCAGACUCCUACGGGAGGCAGCAGUGGGGAAUAUUGCACAAUGGGCGCAAGCCUGAUGCAGCGACGCCGCGUGAGGGAUGACGGCCUUCGGGUUGUAAACCUCUUUCAGCACCGACGAAGCGCAAGUGACGGUAGGUGCAGAAGAAGGACCGGCCAACUACGUGCCAGCCGCCGCCGUAA
rnacentral:rRNA from 1 species